rnacentral:rRNA from 1 species
UACGUAGGGUGCAAGCGUUGUCCGGAAUUAUUGGGCGUAAAGAGCUCGUAGGCGGUUUGUCGCGUCUGCUGUGAAAACUCAGGGCUUAACCCUGAGCCUGCAGUGGGGUACGGGCAGACUAGAGUGUGGUAGGGGAGAUCGGAAUUCCUGGUGUAGCGGUGGAAUGCGCAGAUAUCAGGAGGAACACCGGUGGCGAAGGGCGGAUCUCUGGGCCAUAACUGACGCUGAGGAGCGAAAAGCAUGGGGGAGCGAACAGG